AUUAAAAAAAGGAAAAAAUCUACGCAACAGCCACUAUUUGGCUGCAUCUUUGCACGCAUGAGGUGGCCCAAGUAAAUUUCCCCUUUCUCCCUCACAGCUGCACGUUCCCUCUCUGUUUCACUCAUUUGAAAUUCACCCGUCCUCUCCUCCCACCCACACGCAUUUUCGAAAUUUCACUCCCCGCGUUCACCCCUUCCUCUACCCAGCGACUCGCGCCCUGCUUUCGCCCCUUUGCCUAGAGCCCCGCGGUCUCCAGUUCGUGGAUUCUCUUCUGCAGAUUAGUACUCCAGUUCGUGGCUGAUGAUCACCUCCCUUCGUUCGCCCAUGCACUCGUGCUUCUUCUUCCCCAGUUGGUGAGAUUUGUUUGGCCACCCUUUGCCCAGCAGCAGCUUCCCAGGAAAUUAUCAAGGUCUGCAACUAAAAGUAAAAGCUAAUCUUUUUUUGGUAUUCAUACCCAAGGAAGAUAGGACUAGCAUCUGAGCCAUGAAAACUCACGAGUCACCUACAUUUUUUUGUUGGUUGAAGUAGUUGUAUUUUAUUCGAAGCACAAUGGAAGUACUUCUUGUUGUAUACAUCAUUUGCUAGAGGAGAACAUUCGUACAAGAGAAAACGUAGUUUGGAAGAUGUGGGAUGACAUCUUGUGGCCCGAGUACGAAGUUCGAAAAAGGAAAGAUAAAAUGAGAGACAGAGAGACAACUCUUCCAAAGGAAAAGAGAAUUAUUGUGUUUGUACUGGAUUGUAUCUAUUGUAAUAGUUUUGGCUUAAUUCGGAUAAAUUGUAACAUGUAAAUAGAUGGGUAUGUUCUAUAUGGUUUCUGAAUGGACCAAAUGUAAUGGUACUCCCCCUAUGUUUUCUGUUUGUACUUGGACAACAAUUAACUUAUGAUGUUUUGGUUCCGAUAAA